UACGUAGGGUGCAAGCGUUGUCCGGAAUUAUUGGGCGUAAAGAGCUCGUAGGCGGUCUGUCGCGUCGGAUGUGAAAAUCCAGGGCUUAACCCUGGGCCUGCAUUCGAUACGGGCAGACUAGAGUUCGGUAGGGGGAGACUGGAAUUCCUGGUGUAGCGGUGAAAUGCGCAGAUAUCAGGAGGAACACCGGUGGCGAAGGCGGGUCUCUAGGCCGACACUGACGCUGAGGAGCGAAAGCGUGGGGAGCGAACAGG
rnacentral:rRNA from 1 species